UUGUAAGACCUGGGUCAAUUCAGACCAAUGCUUUCUUCCCAUUCUAAGCUGUUCACUUGCACAUUUAUUUCUGAUUUGACAGUUUGGGGGAAAGGGUGUGUCCACUCUUGACAGGAUGGCUCUGGGGCCCAGGCAGCGGUUGGGGGGAUGCCACCUCGGAAUGAGCCCUUUCAGAGACCCCACCGCCAUUCCUUUUUCAUCGACACAGACUCAGAGGCUGCCCCAGCUGCCCACCCCCACCCCUGCCAUGAGCAUCAGCCUCCUCUGCGGUGUGGCCUUUUGUCUCCUGAAGACAGGUCCAGUGGAUGCUGGCAUUACUCAGACCCCAAAGUACCACGUCAUGUGGACAGGACAGAGCAUGACGCUGACAUGUACCCAGGAUAUGAAUCAUGACUCCAUGUUCUGGUACCGACAAGAUCCAGGGCUGGGGCUGCGGCUGAUGCAUUACUCUGUUGGUGUUGGUUUCACUGAUAAAGGAGAAGUUCCUGAUAAGUACAAUGUCUCUAGAACAAAUAAGGAGCAUUUCCCCCUCUUGCUGGAGUCUGCUACCCCCUCCCAGACGUCUGUGUACUUCUGUGCCAGCAGUGACUCCACAGCACUGCACAGCUGCCUCCUCUCUCCACAAAAAAGGCAGGGCAGGCACUGCUCUCCCAGAAACUCAGCAAAGCCCUUUGCAGCCUUCACAGCACGGGGGACCUCGGAGGCCUGAGUGGCCCUGUGCAGGUGGAACCUGUCUGUGCUGAGUUUCAUCUCCAGGUCA